rnacentral:lncRNA from 1 species
AUGGGUAAUUCAAUUCCUGUCCUUUUAAAGGACAAAGAUUGGCAAAGAGUUCCAAAAUUUCCUAGGAAUGGGUUAACUCCCCUGUUAACACUGGGGAGGAUUGGGGAGGAUAGGUUGUGUCUCUCGAGAAAACGUUCAUUAUCCCUCUUUGAUAAUGUUCCAAUCUUUCUUUCUUGCGACUUCUCGGUCAGCUCUAAGCUGUCCCCCGAUAGUUCUAAACUGUCCCCUAUUAGGGACCCCCUUCCCCCCAGUUCUUUUAUUGGAACCCCCCUUCAGUUCUCUUUGGAGAACCCCCGAUGCUGUGCGCUGGUCAUGCAAAGUUUCGAUGCUACAGAGAUCCCCUCAGUGAUGGGCCCCCAAAGGAGUGAAAAAGAGAAAAAUUCAGAGCAGAAAAAGAGAGAUUUUUACUCCACAAUUAGAGGCUAUUUUUCAUUUAAGAUUAAUGAUUUAACGUAUGCAAUUUGGAAGGAUUGUUAAUGAUUUUGAUAUGAUACAAAUAUAAUUUCGUGUAUUAUAGUAACUAUUUGUCAUGUUAAUAAGGUUUACCAGAUUUUAUUGAGCACAACAAAACUCAUGGUUAGAAGUUUAUUUUGUUAAAUCUUGCUAUGCAUAAUGGUUUCAGUGAAUUUGAGAAUUUUCUAAAUGUGGCUGAUAGCCAGACUGAUACAGAGAGGGAAUAUUUUAUUUUAUAAGGACAAAAAUUGCACUGGUCAAUUUAUAGAUGUAAAAGUCAUCCAGAAAAGUUGUUAUGUUGUUGAGAAGAACUUAUUCUAGAAAUUAAAUUUGGGAUUUUUUCAAAUCAGAUUUAUUUUCAUGCAUGUGCUGUCAGGAGUAGUAACAAGAAAUUAUAUGACACACAAGAAGUUUAAGUGAUUAAUCUGUUCAUGGGAUUUAAUAAUAUUAGUACUAGGAAUUUGUUAUUUUGCAAGAGAAAAUUUCUAAACAUUGUUGUCUUUGAUUAAGGUUAUAUGAAUUGCUUUUAAAAUGUGUACAAUGUAUAGGAAGUAAUUUAAGGGUAUAUGAUAUGCAAACUACAGCCUUGAAAUCAAAAAGGGCUUGUCAUAAGGAUUAAAUACAAUUCAGGAUAGUACCUUUCCUCUACUUACAAUAAUGGUAAAGAGGAGAAGCCAGAAGAAAUAAUAGUAAUGGACAGAGAUACUAGUUGAUAUUGUGAAUUCUAGUGUAAAAUGUAUACAAC